rnacentral:rRNA from 1 species
AUCCUACGGGGCGCAGCAGUAGGGAAUCUUCCACAAUGGACGAAAGUCUGAUGGAGCAACGCCGCGUGAGUGAAGAAGGGUUUCGGCUCGUAAAGCUCUGUUGGUAGUGAAGAAAGAUAGAGGUAGUAACUGGCCUUUAUUUGACGGUAAUUACUUAGAAAGUCACGGCUAACUACGUGCCAGCAGCCGCGGUAAUACGUAGGUGGCAAGCGUUGUCCGGAUUUAUUGGGCGUAAAGCGAGUGCAGGCGGGUCCACUAAUUUUGUUUGGAAACCCUUGGCUCCAACGG